rnacentral:tRNA from 1 species
GGUGGCUCAGUGGUAGAGCUCUUGCCUCGCAAGCAUGAGGCCCUGGGUUCGAUUCCUCAGUACCA